rfam:Bacillus cereus Rock3-44 contig00097, whole genome shotgun sequence.
UAGUUGGUGAAAGUCCAAUCGGGAGAAUAGACUCCACUCCCGUAGCCUGAGAGGCACCAUGAAGUGAAAGCGACAUGGCGAAGCCCUCUGACAUCACAUGCAAAAGGCAUGUGGGCAAAUCUCUAGGUUGUAACGUAC